AGGGCUUUCAUGUUGUAUAUGUGUUUAGAGAGACAAAGGGAGAGAGUGUAACGUGUACAGAGUUGGAGACGAGUUACUAUAUAUCUGCAUGACCUGUCUUAAUGAGAACAUUUAAAAUUAACAACAGGAAGGACGGCAAAUGCCAGAGAUGACUCCCACGGGUUUGAAGAACUGAGAUGUUACUUUGUUUAAGAGCAAGGAGGUAGUUAUACGCACAUCAUGUAUAGGUGCAGGGAGGUACAAGCACAGCAGACUGAGGAAGAAAAUGGGCCCACACACUCGCUCAAAUGCCACAAGAAAAUGUAUUUUAUCACAAUGUUUCGACCAAAAGUUAUCACCUGAAGAAGACCUUUGGUCGGAACGUUGUGAUGAAUUAAAAACUUUUUUGUGGCGGUGUGUGGGUCUAUCUUUUUCCUCUUUUUUUAAAAAACCACAAAUAAAACACGUGCAAGUUCUCUCCCUCUCUGUUAAAAAUAGAUGCAUGUAGAAUGUGAUUCAAGAUUAACACUUACUAUCAAUAGUAGUUUGAGAUUUUAUUUUUUGUGUUUUUAAUUUCAAUGUAUGUAACAGAAGUAAUAAAAUAAAUGACUGAAUGAAUGACAGACUU